GCGAAUGGCUCAUUAAAUCAGCUAUAAUUCCUUAGAUCUUACGUUCUACUUGGAUAACUGUGGUAAUUCUAGAGCUAAUACAUGUCAUCUAUGCCGGAGAAAACAUCUCGGUGUUUUUCUUGGGUGGACUUAUUAGAUCAAAAUCAACCGGCUAUGCCGCAAUUUUGAUGACUCUGGAUAAUUUACCUGAUCGCAUAGCCUUGUGCUGGCGACGUAUCUUUCAAGUAGCUGCCCUAUCAACUUUCGAUGGUAGGAGAUUUGCCUACCAUGGUUAUAACGGGUAACGGGGAAUCAGGGUUUGAUUCCGGAGAGGGAGCCUUAGAAACGGCUACCACAUCUAAGGAAGGCAGCAGGCGCGCAAAUUACCCACUUGCAGUGCGUGAGUAGAGGUAGUGACAAUAAAUAACAAUGCAGAACUCUUAUGAGGCUCUGCAAUUGGAAUGAGACAGAUUUAAAUCCUUUAACGAGGAUCAAUUGGAGGGCAAGUCUGGUGCCAGCAGCCGCGGUAAUUCCAGCUCCAAUAGCGUAUAUUAAAAUUGUUGCGGUUAAAAAGCUCGUAGUUGAAUAUCAGGUUGGAGUAUCUUAUGGGUCCUUUUGGGCUCAUAUUGAUGAAUCCACCUCGUCAGCCGGUCAGAUACAUUGUUCCCUCUUAAUUGAGUGACAAUGUGCACGGCAUGUUUACUUUGAAAAAAUUAGAGUGUUUAAAGCAGACCACUUGUGAGUCUGAAUGGUGAUGCAUGGAAUAAUGGAAUAGGACUCUGGAUCUAUUUUGUUGAUUUUCAGUACUAACCAGAGUAAUGAUUAAAAGGGGUAGUACGGGGGCAGAAGUAUGGCCGCGCUAGAGGUGAAAUUCUUGGACCGUGGCCAGACUAACUACUGCGAAAGCAUCUGCCAAGUAUGCUUUCAUUAAUCAAGAACGAAAGUCAGAGGUUCGAAGACGAUCAGAUACCGUCCUAGUUCUGACCAUAAACUAUGCCAACUGACUAUCAGUCCGUUUUAAAAAAACGGUUUAGCAGUCCCCGGGAAACCUUCAAGUGAGGUUCCGGGGGGAAUAUGGUCGCAAGUCUGAAACUUAAAGGAAUUGACGGAAGGGCACCACCAGGAGUGGAGCCUGCGGCUUAAUUUGACUCAACACGGGAAAACUCACCCGGCCCGGACACUGUGAGGAUUGACAGAUUGAAAGCUCUUUCUAGAUUCAGUGGAUGGUGGUGCAUGGCCGUUCUUAGUUGGUGGAGUGAUUUGUCUGGUUAAUUCCGAUAACGAACGAGACUCAAGCCUACUAACUAGGUAGCGCACUAGGGGCUUUAAACCACUAGUGUUGCUACGCUUCUUAGAGGGAUUGGCGGCAUUUAGUCGCAUGAGAUUGAGCAAUAACAGGUCUGUGAUGCCCUUAGAUGUCCGGGGCUGCACGCGCGCUACAUUGACAGUCACAGAAAGAAUAUACCCUUCUCCGAGAGGAGCGGGAAAUCUUCUGAAAGACUGGCACGUCAGGGAUCAGGGUUUGUAAUUAUACCCUGUGAACGAGGAAUUCCCAGUAAGCGCAAGUCAUCAGCUUGCGCUGAUUACGUCCCUGCCCUUUGUACACACCGCCCGUCGCUACUACCGAUUGGAUGCUUUAGUAAGAUCUUCGGACUGGGAGGCUGUGGAGUGUCUUCGGACGCUUUGAGCUUUUCUGGAAAGAAGAUCAAAUUUGAGUUUCUAGAGGAAGUAAAAGUCGUAACAAG
rnacentral:rRNA from 1 species